rnacentral:rRNA from 1 species
GAUGAACGCUGGCGGCGUGCCUAAUACAUGCAAGUCGAGCGAACAGACGAGGAGCUUGCUCCUCUGACGUUAGCGGCGGACGGGUGAGUAACACGUGGAUAACCUACCUAUAAGACUGGGAUAACUUCGGGAAACCGGAGCUAAUACCGGAUAAUAUAUUGAACCGCAUGGUUCAAUAGUGAAAGACGGUUUUGCUGUCACUUAUAGAUGGAUCCGCGCCGCAUUAGCUAGUAGGUAAGGUAACGGCUUACCAAGGCAACGAUGCGUAGCCGACCUGAGAGGGGGAUCGGCCACACUGGAACGGAGACACGGUCCAGACUCCUACGGGAGGCAGCAGUAGGGAAUCUUCCGCAAUGGGCGAAAGCCUGACGGAGCAACGCCGCGUGAGUGAUGAAGGUCUUCGGAUCGUAAAACUCUGUUAUUAGGGAAGAACAAAUGUGUAAGUAACUAUGCACGUCUUGACGGUACCGAAUCAGAAAACCACGGCUAACUACGU